GAUGAACGCUGGCGGCGUGCCUAAUACAUGCAAGUCGAGCGAACAGACGAGGAGCUUGCUCCUCUGACGUUAGCGGCGGACGGGUGAGUAACACGUGGAUAACCUACCUAUAAGACUGGGAUAACUUCGGGAAACCGGAGCUAAUACCGGAUAAUAUAUUGAACCGCAUGGUUCAAUAGUGAAAGACGGUUUUGCUGUCACUUAUAGAUGGAUCCGCGCUGCAUUAGCUAGUUGGUAAGGUAACGGCUUACCAAGGCAACGAUGCGUAGCCGACCUGAGAGGGUGAUCGGCCACACUGGAACUGAGACACGGUCCAGACUCCUACGGGAGGCAGCAGUAGGGAAUCUUCCGCAAUGGGCGAAAGCCUGACGGAGCAACGCCGCGUGAGUGAUGAAGGUCUUCGGAUCGUAAAACUCUGUUAUUAGGGAAGAACAAAAGUGUAAGUAACUAUGCACGUCUUGACGGUACCUAAUCAGAAAGCCACGGCUAACUACGUG
rnacentral:rRNA from 1 species